UUUUGUCCAUUGCCCUUUUUCUGUUGUACUACUGUGAGCAUUCAGAAGAGCAGUGCAAUAUUAAAAGGGCAUUGGCUGGAAG
rnacentral:pre_miRNA from 1 species